AUGGGUUUUUUUAUCCCCGUUUCGGGUAUUUUUUUGUUUUGUUUUUUUUUUGUUAGGAUUAUUUUAAGGAUGAGGCUGCUCGGAGGGCCGGGGCUCGCAGGGUGCUGGGACACGCGGUACCCGGCAGCCCGCAGGCGCCGUUCCUCCGGCCGAAGGUUUCGGGUUUGGGUUUCGGGGGCGGCCACAGUUGGGAGAAAAUUGGAUUUUUUUCUUCUUUUUGGUCCACUGUUAACGACCUUUUGGUUUCCUACUUGCAGUUACUUGAAUAAAACGUUUUAUGGAUGUUUGCCGCCUCUGCUCUGCGCUCUGGGUUUGGGUCGGGUUUCGGCUCAACGGGCUUUUGGAGCCGCUCUGGGGCGAAAAAACCUGGUUUUAUCCGUGCAUGGAGACUGCGGGCCCUGGAUCCGCGUGAGCCACGGAGCAGCCGCUCGGCACGGUACCUUCUGCGCCGGGACGUCCGGGGCCGCGUGGGAGCUGCCGGUGCAAACAGAGCCAGGCGAAGCCCUGCUGCCCCCUGCAACCGCCCCUGUCCACGGGGCGUUUUUAUUACCAAAAAAAAGGAACAAGCUGCCAUCAAAUACAAAAAGGAGCCGCCGCUGCAAAGCCGUGCUGUGCCGCUCCGCUGGCCUGGAGCGUCCGCGCUGCCGAAAAUCCUCCCGGCCAAAUGCACGAGGCUCUGGGCUGAAUGCAAAGAAACCCCCGUUUCGCCCUGCCCGGCGGCGCGCAUCUCGCCCGCGGACCCCGCGCCGCCACCGCGUUUCCCACCGGAGCGCCCCGCGUGGGCAUCCCGGCUCGAGUCCCGCGAGCCAUCAAGGAGGGGGGAAGAAAACCUGGCAGAAAGGAAAACCGGCAAAACCGCGUGCAAAGGCAGCAGGAAACGCCGGUGUCGCCGGGUGGCAUCGCUGCGGGGCCGGGUGCGUCCCGGAGCACAGCGGCGCUGCCGAAACCUGCCUGGCCCCCGCGGGCAGCGGGGAGGCGCGAAGGGAGACAGAGCACUGGCGUCGAGCCGUCGUCCCUUCGCUGCCGGCUCGGCCCCGGCGCCGGCAUCAGGCCCUCCAGUUGGCGUGCGGGGGCCGGCGGGGCUGGGACCCCCCCCAGCCGGGCACCACCUGCAACGAGCACAGCGAGAACGGCGUCCUGAGCGGGAGACGCUGGCCGGGGAGCAGCUAA
rnacentral:lncRNA from 1 species